rfam:Triticum aestivum genome assembly, contig: Triticum_aestivum_CS42_TGACv1_scaffold_321317_4BL
CGCGUACUCCCUCCGUCCGGAAAUACUUGUCAUCAAAAUGGAUAAAAGAAAAUACAUCUAGACGUAUUUUAAUUUUAGAUACGUAUUUUUUUAUCCAUUUUGAUGACAAGUAUUUUCGGACAAAGGGAGUACUAU